UGAGAGACGGUCCAGACUCCUACGGGGGGCAGCAGUGGGGAAUAUUGCACAAUGGGGGAAACCCUGAUGCAGCGACGCCGCGUGAAGGAAGAAGUAUCUCGGUAUGUAAACUUCUAUCAGCAGGGAAGAUAGUGACGGUACCUGACUAAGAAGCCCCGGCUAACUACGUGCCAGCAGCCGCGGUAAUACGUAGGGGGCAAGCGUUAUCCGGAUUUACUGGGUGUAAAGGGAGCGUAGACGGUGUGGCAAGUCUGAUGUGAAAGGCAUGGGCUCAACCUGUGGACUGCAUUGGAAACUGUCAUACUUGAGUGCCGGAGGGGUAAGCGGAAUUCCUAGUGUAGCGGUGAAAUGCGUAGAUAUUAGGAGGAACACCAGUGGCGAAGGCGGCUUACUGGACGGUAACUGACGUUGAGGCUCGAAAGCGUGGGGAGCAAACAGGAUUAGAUACCCUAGUAGUC
rnacentral:rRNA from 1 species